rnacentral:rRNA from 1 species
UACGUAGGGGGCUAGCGUUGUCCGGAUUUAUUGGGCGUAAAGAGCGUGUAGGCGGCCAGGUAGGUCCGGUGUGAAAACUCGAGGCUUAACCUCGAGAUGUCAUCGGAAACCAUCCGGCUAGAGUCCGGAAGAGGAAAGUGGAAUUCCUGGUGUAGCGGUGAAAUGCGCAGAUAUCAGGAAGAACACCAAUGGCGAAAGCAGCUUUCUGGGACGGUACUGACGCUGAGGCACGAAAGCGUGGGGAGCAAACAGG